rnacentral:rRNA from 1 species
GGAUGCGAUCAUACCAGCACUAAAGCACCCGAAGUUAAGCGUGCUUGGUUGAGAGUAGUACUAGGAUGGGUGACUCUUGGGAAGUCCUCGUGUUGCAUUCC